GGGACUGUAUUCAGUCCGAUCCCUUUCGAAUCAGACAGCUUAUUAGGGACGGGGACUGAGCAGGAAUCAGUUGAACGGAGGAAGGGUAGUUUAGACAUUCUAUCUGUGGCACUAGAGGCUCUGUUGAGUGGCUCCCUCAGGCCUCUUUUGCAGCCUGCCGAUGUAAAACUUUUAAAUGGUAUUGACCUUCACAGUGUAAGUUGGCACGACCACAAACAGAUUUUAGCAUUUGUUUCUGCACCGCAUCAGGUGACGAUUUGUGACUACAAUGAUUCCGAUGGAAAGUCUCCUUGCAUCUUGUCCCAUGAGUCCCAAAAAGAUGUAAAGAUUCUUGAGUGGAGACCAAAUGGAGGGAUAACCCUUUCUGUUGCAUGCAAGGGUGGCAUUUGCAUCUGGGCUGCUUCUUCUCCUGCUAAUAUUCCACCCGUUAGAUCUGGGGUGACUUCGAACCCACUUUCAAGGGGCUCUGUGACCUC